GCCCACCGGGGCCCGCACCGCCACGGACGAGAGAGAGAGGGAGAGGGAAUAUGCCCAGUCCCCACCGUCCUUCCUUCCCCUUCUUCGACACCGACGCCAUCGAGCGGCGCGCCACGUGCCGCCGGCGGCGGUUCGGCCUCACCGAGAGCGGCCGCCUGACGCGGGGAUGGGCGACGGCGGCGCGGCGCGCGGAGCGACAUCGAGCGCCGCCGCUGGAGGUCGCUUCGAGGGGCGGCGGCGUGGGCCGGCCGGCGAGCGCCGCGGGCGGGGCGUGGGCCCUCCUCUCGACGGCGCGCUCGGGGCUUGGUCACCGGCCAGUUCAGCUGCUCGGACGCUGAAGGGCGUGAUCAGGAGGACGCGCAGCUGCGGCAGCGCCUCGUCCGCACCGGCCCGCGGCGCGGGCCGGCUCGUUACCCGCCAACGCCGUCGAACGGCGUGCCUCGUGCCGCGGCCUUCUUCCGCGCGGCCGGAGGUUCGGCCUCACGGCGAUUGGCGGGCCAUGUCGGCUGCAUUUGGCCGCGCGGGGCGAGCGCCGUCGCUGAGGCUUGCUUCGAGGGGGCAGCGGCAUGGACCGGCCGGUGAGCGCGGCGUACGGGACGUGGCCCCUCCUCUCCGUACCCAAGGCCUUGUGCCUGGUAGGGAGGCUGCCGAAGAGGUGUCCGCGGAGAUGCGGUGGGUGAUCCCCGACGGCGCUUCUGAAGAGGAUGAGGUCGAUAGCUCCGACGACGGUGACCGGGGCACUGCGACCCCACGGUCGCCCUCGGCUCCCGUGGUGGCGGUGGCGGCUACUCGGACGCUCAAGAGGAUGUGGAGGGCGCGCUGCUGCGCCAGCGCUUCGGCCGCGUCGGCUCGUUCGACGUCGAAGCUCCCGAUGUCCCGGACACUGGAGGAUGUGAUAUCCAAAAAACAAGAAAUCCGGGAGGCAGUUGAGCUACCAUUGACACACCAUGAGUUGUACUGCUCUAUGGUCCUUUAGGCACUGGCAAGACCAUGCUUGCUAAAGCGGCGGCACAUCACACUACUGCUGCUUUUAUCUGAGUAAUUGGUUCAGAGUUUCUGCAGACGUACUUGAGUGAGGUUUCCUUGUUUAUGCUCAAGACUUCCAGUGUAAAUAAGUUGGACUUGUUUGAACUGAAGUGUUCGGGGAGAUCUGUUAACACAAGCUGAAGAGAAUGCCCCGGCUAUAAUAUUCAUCGAUGAGAUUGACGCUAUAGCCAGUGCUCGAUUCGAUGCUCAUACUGGGGCUGACGAGAAGUUCAGCGUAUUCUGAUGGAGCUACUCAAUCAGGUUUUCAACUCAAGGUAUCAUUGGUCGAACUCAAGAUGUCUUUGUGGAUCAAGGAGCACCUUGAGACUUCAUCUAUGCUGAAGAAGCUACUUUUGAUGCUUGUUCUCUUUGGUACUUCUAUGGUGAUAGCGGAUGGUGUUGUCACACCAGCAAUGUCAGGUUCAUAUAUUUCUGAUGCAUUGUUCGUCGUAUUUCUCUUCACGUAGUCUUAUGAUCUUACAUAUUUGCUUUCAGCAGUACCAUUGUGUUACCAGUUUUCAUCUUCUAACAGUAUUGCUUGCAUUUUUUUUCCUGUCGGUAAAAUCUGCAGUGAUAACUGCUGUCAAUGGCUUGAAGGUUGGAAUAUCUAGUUUUAAUGAAGGUGACCUUGAAUAUGUUGGUUGGUAUUAACCGGUUAAAUAGAAAAAUGUGUAACUGCAUAGAAGUGCAGGAUAGUCACCUUCUAUUUUGAUUUUUUUUUUCCGCAUUUCUCAUUGUUCUUGAGUCUGUAAAGGUUUGGAACAUUCAAAGUCGGGCUUGCUGUUGGACCUGCCUUGUUCAUAUGGUUUUGCUGCCUUUCUGGGAUAGGAGUUUAUGACAUUAUGACAUGAUACAGAAGUAUUGCAGGCAUUCAGUCCUAUAUAUACCUACUACUAUUUUGAAAGAAACCCAACUCAAGCUUGGAUGUCUCCCUGGGCCUGCCUUUUAUAUAUGUUAAACAUGUAUGCUUUUUGACCAUAUUCUUAAUGUUAGUUUCAGGUGCAUAGUUUCUGCUUGAGUUACAUAAAAUUAGUUACUGUCUGUCACGUCCUUUUGUUUUUCUUCUAUAGGGAUUCUGAAACUCAUAAAUAUGUUGAGUGCAUUUGUGGUGUUACUAAACAUAACUAGACCUCUUGUUCUUACUAGUAACUGCGUCACAUGCAAUGCAUGUCAUGACCAAAUUCAACAUCCUGCGUCAGAUUGUGGAACCUCUGUCGUAAAUGCAGAACUUCAUGUGCAUAUGGAUUUGACAUUAUGAGAAAGAGAAAACUAAUUUCGAGAUAUAAGCCACUCAGGCUAAAACUAUUAUUUCGAGAUAUGUGCCAUUCACGCUUCUAUUUUACUAAGAUACUAAAACUAUUUGCAUCAUCACAAACAUGAUGCAUUUCUGAAACUCAGGUCCUCACAGAGAUCCUAGAAAGAUUGAAAUGGUCCCCCCCCCCCCCCCCCCCCUUAUAUUUAGAGUCAGCAUCCAGUAUAAUCACAGGCCACUUAGUUAAAGCUACUUCAACUUAAGAUUAGAGGUCAAACAUCAGGGCAAAUAGAUUAGAGAAUAUUACUUUUCCUUGAGCUUUAUGAUUAGUAAUGAUUGUUCUGUAUAUUUGGCAGGAGGAAUAUUUGCUUUAUACUCUUUAGUACUAUGCAGGAAUGCAAAGGCUAGUCUGCUCCCUAGCUAACUGCUCUCUGAGACCCGUAUAUCAGGUUUCCAACUCAAGGUACCAUUGGUAGAACUCAAGAGGUCUUUGUGGAUCAAAGAGCACCUUGAGACUUCAUCUAUGCUGAAGAAGCUACUUUUGAUGCUUGUUCUUUUUUGUACUUCUGUGGUGAUAGCGGAUGGCGUUGUUACACCAGCAAUGUCAGGUAAAAUCAGCUGUGAUGUCUGCUGUAGAUGGCUUGAAGGCUGGAAUAUCUAGUGUCAGUGAAGGUGAAGUGGUCACGACGUUGCAUUUCUUGUUGUUCUAUUCAGUCUGCAAAGGUUUGGAACACGUAAAGUUGGCUUGCUGUUGGACCUGCUUUGUUCAUAUGGUUUUGCUGCCUUUCUGGGACAGGAAUUUAUAGCAUAAUUACAUAUGGUACAGAAGUAUUUUGAAAGAAACCUAACUCAAGCUUGGAUCUCUUCAGGGGGCUGCCUUUUAUGUGAAACAAGUAUUUUUUUUUACCAUAUUGUUCAUGUUAGUUGUGAUGAAACUUGUUUGAAGUUCUCUAGGAAUGUAUUUGCUUCAGGUGCAUAUUUUUGUUUGAGUGACAUAAAAUUUAUUACGGUCUGUCAUGUGUCCUUCAUUUUUUCUUCUAUAGGAGUUCCAGAACUCACAAAUAUGCUAAGCGCAUUUGUGGCUUUAGUAAACAUAAUUAGACCUUUUGUUCUUACUAGUAACUGUGCCACGUGGAAUGCGCUUGAUGACCAAAUUGGAUACACCGCAAGCACAAGAAUUUGAAGAAAUCCUCUGCUGAUUUCAUUUUGUGGAACCUCUGUCGUUAACAUUAAAUGUCAUGUACAUCUGUAUUUGACAUCAUGGAAAAGAGAACUAAUUCCUUUCAUUGCUAACAAAUUUAACUCAUUAUUGCUAAAACUAUUAUUUUGAUAUAUAAGGGCCUGUUUGGUUCCAAUAAGUCACCUGACUUAUAAGUCAGGUGACUUAAAACCAGUGACUUAUAAGUCACGCCUGUUUGGUUGUCACCUGACUUAUAAGUCACCUGACCACACCUUUCCACCUUGUUUUUUUAUGUAAAGGUGGUGGGACCCACGCAAAAGGGGGUGACUUAUAAGUUUUAAGUUGGGGUGGAGCAACUUAUGACUUAUAAGUUGGGGUGACUUAUAAGUUGGGUCUGUUUGGCAAAAUAAGUCACUUUUUUCACUUUUCGACUUAUAAGUUGGUGACUUAUUUGGAACCAAACAGGCCCUAAGCCAAACACGCUUCUAUUUUACUAAGAUACAAAACGAUUCACAUCAGUCAACAAUAUGACGCAUUUCUGAAACCUUGAAAUGGUUUUCCCCCCUGUUAUAUUUUGAGUCAGCAUCCAGUACAUUCACAGGCCACUUAGUUAAUAGUUAAAGCUACUUCACUUAAGAUGAGAGGUCAAACAUCAGGGCAAGCAAAUGACGCUCAGGUGAUUUUGGAUUUACUAUCCAUUUAAUAAUCAGUACUAUGGUUUCUGCGUUAGUAAAGUAUGUAAAGAGAGGGUAAUCUUGAACCCAAAUUAAUGCAAAUUCUGUAAGAGGAUAUUACUGGAAAUAAUCAUCACCUAGAAAAAUGUAAGAAUCAUCUCUAAUGUUGUGUUGCUGACACCCUACAAAUAGUGUGGACUUUAUGGACAUUCUCAUCACCCAAUGUACAAUAUGAACGAUAUUAGCCUUUGCAAUACAUAAUAUAUGUCAUUCUACAUCUACUUACCUUAGGUUAGAAGUAAAUAGAUCUUAAGCAUUGAGUAAAUUAUUAAAAGUUUGUAGCAUAGAUAUUUACAAGAUUGGUUUUUCUGCAGGAUCCGAGGCAAUGUUUGCUGAUUUGCUACUCUGUUAGAUCAGUUCAACUAGUCUAUCAGUUCAGGUAGUCUUUUGUACUGUUGUGGGCUCCAUCUUGCACUUCCAACACCUAGUUGAGAACUUACUAUUGCUCAUAUGUUUUGGAGCUUACCUUUGCAUGUCUUGUUCUUCCAUGCCUUCUACUGGGUUACCCAGGGCAACCUGCAGUUUUUGUGAAGAACUUGACUGAAAAUGAGAAGGUCUUCUGUCUAUCCCGAGGACUAUUUCAAAUCUUAUAUGUUUAUUGCCAUGCAAUGUUUUCACACAUUAUGAAAUAAUUUUUAAUAUUAUAGUGAAACUAAGCUUCUUUUUACUAUGUUUAUCCAUUUAUGCUACAAACUUAUAACAGUUUACUCCAUUUAUGCUGAUUUUACAGUGUUUCUCAGGAUAUACGGUGUUGAAAUUGCUAGCAUUGGAUCUGUUUAGUAUGUGCCUAUCAUGUAAAUUGAAUUUGGUUGUUGAGAAUGGUUGUCUGGUCAAUAUUACUUUGUGCUAAGUUGCCUUCUCUAUCCUGAUGGACUUGCAUGGUAGUGUUUAAUCUCCUUACAACACUGCCGAUCCCACUAUUUGACUUGGAUCUGCAAACAUACAGAAUAUUUAUAACAUAUGUUAUUUUGAAUAAAGAGCAAUGUCCUAAGUCAUUCACGCGCUGAUUUGUUAUAUAUAAUUCCUUUCUUUCAUUUGAACUGUCACCACUACCGCCACACCACAUAAUCUUUCUAAUGCCCAGUAUUUACUUCAGCCUACAGGCAUAGCUGAACUUGGGGUCAUGAUGAUCACUACCAUAUUGGUGACCAUCAUAGUGCUUCUGAUAUGGCAGGUCAACAUCAUUGUCGAUCUAUGCUUUCUCACCAUCCUCCUGUGCCUGCAGCUAUUUUUCUUUUCUUCAGUUAUGGGGAUUGUACCAGAUGGUAGUUGGGUUCUUUUGGCAUUUGCGGCUGUACUGUAUUUGGCAAUGUACCUGAGGAACUAUGAGAUCAAGUUGAAGUACGGAACUGAGGUUAAGCAAAAGCUUUUGGUGGAUUUAAUGAUCUUUGGUCUCUUCCUGACCAUAAUGCCUGCCAUUUAUUCGAUGAUCUUUUUUGUCUGCAUCAAGUGGGUCUCUGUUCCUGUUGUUCUUCAGAAUGAAAGGUUUCUCUUUCGCCGAGUCUGCCCAAAGAGCAACCACAUUUUUAGCUGCAUUGCUUGGCUGGGCAGGUGGUCAACUGGAGACAAUAUGGGGCAUGGCUCUUUGCGUGGAGCUCUUUAACUUGAGUCCAGAGAUCUUUUUCUACUACUCCCUCUGUAAAGAAAUAUAAGAGCUUUUAGAUCACUACUUUAGGUAACUAAACGUUCUUAUAUUUGUUUACGGAGGGAGUACUAUUGUACUUGAGUCCUCUCUGGACACUAUCAAGAAAACCAUUCGAUUAGAUGCAGAUGUGUUUUGCCAACUAAUGAUACUACUGAAAUUUUCUGAACAACAAUACAAGAUAGAGAGCCCUUGGUCUUAAUAAAGCCAACUUUUUCUUCUACCUUUGAAGUUCAUUAAAAAAUUUCCAUGUUCAAUUCUUUGCAGUUUGGCUCGUCAUGUUUAAAAUUUUAACUUUACAACACAGUGGGUGUUGCCCUGCCUGCGAAUCUGCGAUGACACUUGUAUGGCUGCACAUGGUGCCUAUUUUAUUUUAUGACAUCUGUUGCUAUCAAGCCC